GUCCACAGAAUGAGUUCCAGAACAACCAAAGCUAUGAAGAACUCCUACAACAAGAUGAAAAAGACCUGAGAAUCUUCCGGAAACUAGCUGGCUAGCCUGGAGUAGGGGAAGAGCAGCAGCAGAAAUGAGAUACCUUGCCUCAAAACCCUGGGUAGAAGGAGUGAGCCAAGUCCAUCCUCUAGCCUUCCAGAAGUUCAUGACACAAAUAACUAAAUAAAAAUCAAAGACCGAAAA